UUCCAUUCUGUCUUUUUUUUUUUUGCCCUAACUGGAAACAGCCGGGGCCUACGUGCCAGCCGUGCGGAGCUGGCAAACUCUCCUCCACAAAGCAGAACCAGGUGAGAGGCCGCCUUCUCGUUCCUUUCCGUCAGCAGAACAUUGUGUGCUCAGUGGUUCCGUGCAGCUGCCUCUCGUUGCUCGGCAACAGCUCGCUCGGAGAUAGGUUCACUGUGGCCUCGCGGAAAGGCCGCGUAAACAGAUGUUUACAAGUUGGGGAAGUUCGUACUGGAAGUCUUUAAAAUCCCUAGAUUGAAACACAGCUUGGCUUCUCAGUCUGAUCUCCUGAUUUGCAGUUUGAAUAAUGCACACAUUCUUAUGCUGUGUCGUCGCAAAUAGUAGUGAUAAUAAUGAAAUGUUUUUAGCCUUGUGUUUUAUAUAAAGUACCUUUUCAGAUUAAGCAAAAUGAUGCUGUGUUUUGUAUGUUUGGUGUUGCUGCAAGUGAGUGUGAGAUACAUUAGGUAGAAUUCUAUCCUUAAAUAUAUAAGAUUAAAAAUUUAGACAGAUGGUUGAAAUAUAAAUUCUUGCUCAGUAAUGCAUAUUGCCUAUAUUUAUGUUAAAUUAUUAAUUGAGUACUGCACCUAGUUUCUGUGAUUUGGGUGCGUGCUCGAUCUCGAUGGCGUGUAGUUUCUGUGAUUUGGGUGCGUGCUCGAUCCCGAUGGCGUGUAGUUUCUGUGAUUUGGGUGCGUGCUCGAUCCCGAUGGCGUGUAGUUUCUGUGAUUUGGGUGCGUGCUCGAUCCCGAUGGCGUGUAGUUUCUGUGAUUUGGGUGCGUGCUCGAUCCCGAUGGCGUGUAGUUUCUGUGAUUUGGGUGCGUGCUCGAUCCCGAUGGCGUGUAGUUUCUGUGUUUUGGGUGCGUGCUCGAUCCCGAUGGCAUGUAGCGUGCCUGAUGCGGCUUGCUGGGUCAAGCUGGAUGAAUAUGUAUGUGAUGCACUCGGACAUAUUACCUGCAGUGGGCUCUGCUGGUAACACCUACUCAGAUCAAAGCUGCCAUUUUUGCUCACUUAGCCGUGCUUGGUGGGGUCCGGAGAGCCAGAAACUCAUCUGAGAAAUUUUAAAGCCUCUGGGCUGGACUCUGAUGUCUUUCCAGGAAUAUUUAGAUAUACAUAAUUUUUGGGGCAAUGGAACAGCCAGUUCUAACCAACUUGGCUGUAAGUUCCUCGUGCUUUCGCUUAGGUGUCUCCUGCAAGGCCUGCUGGGUGCCGCCAUGACCACAAUAGGCAAAAAGAAAAUAGUGCAUCACUUUAGCAGCUGACAGGUUUCUUCUGUGGAACAGUGUAUGUAAGAAGAGCAGCCCGACUGUAGCAGAAUCAAUCGGAGGAAAGCAAAGAAAAAUUAGCAGUAAUUAUGAUUCAUUGCUGUAGAUGCUCACAUUUAUCAGUAUGGUAACAGAAACCUGUCUGAUCCAGGGUAGAAGGUACAAAGCUGCUAGGUAAAAGCCCACAGUUGCGGCUGCUUUCACUCACUUACAGUGAGUUUACUGUAGCCGUAUACAGUGGUAUACCAGGUGUUGUCAAAGAUGUAAGCCUAAUAUCUUUACUGUAGCCAUGUCCAGUGGUAUACCAGAUGUUGUCAAAGAUGUAAACCUAAUUUCAUAAUAUGAUUUCAUACUAGUGUUAUAAGAAUAAGAAUUACAGUUGUGAGCUGGAUUUACACUUACUAUUAAAUAAUAAUAAUUUUUGACUUAUCAAUAUGAUUGGUUAUAGAAGGCUAAUGAAAGAGCAAGCAGGUACUCCUGGAAUGAAAGCUGCGCAUCGCACUUCCAAGCAGGUACUCCUGGAAUGCAAACUGAACACAGCGCUUCCAAGCAGGUACUCCUGGAAUGCAAACUGAACACAGCGCUUCCAAGCAGGUAUUCCUGGAAUGCAAACUGAACACAGCGCUUCCAAGCAGGUAUUCCUGGAAUGCAAACUGAACACAGCGCUUCCAAGUAGGUACUCCUGGAAUGCACACUGAACAUAGCACUUCCAAGCAGGUACUCCUGGAAUGCAAACUGCAUACCCUGCUUCCAAGCAGGUACUCCUGGAAUGCAAACUGCAUACCCUGCUUCCAAGCAGGUACUCCUGGAAUGCAAACUGAACACAGCGCUUCCAAGUAGGUACUCCUGGAAUGCAAACUGAACACAGCGCUUCCAAGCAGGUACUCCUGGAAUGCGAACUGAAGACAGCGCUUCCAAGUAGGUACUCCUGGAAUGCACACUGAACAUAGCGCUUCCAAGCAGGUACUCCUGGAAUGCAAACUGAACACAGCGCUUCUAAGCAGGUACUCCUGGAAUGCACACUGAACACAGCACUUCCAAGCAGGUACUCCUGGAAUGCAAACUGAACACAGCGCUUCCAAGCAGGUACUCCUGGAAUGCAAACUGAACACAGCGCUUCCAAGUAGGUACUCCUGGAAUGCAAACUGAACACAGCGCUUCCAAGCAGGUACUCCUGGAAUGCGAACUGAAGACAGCGCUUCCAAGUAGGUACUCCUGGAAUGCACACUGAACAUAGCGCUUCCAAGCAGGUACUCCUGGAAUGAAAACUGCAUACUGUGCUUCCAAGCUUGCUUAAAAAAUCUCCUUGGAAGCUAUUAGUUGAGCCCUUCUAUACGCAAUGUAUAUAGCAACGCUUGGAAUUCUGAAGCACAUUCAGUGGUUUUCUGAGAGGUCUAGUCCUUACGUAACCUCAGUGUGUUGGCAGCCAUAUACAGUGCAGAUCACAGCAGGCUCAUGUAGACAGGCUCGCAGAGUGCGGCUACACAUGACCAGUCUAACAGUGUCACUAUGGUGACAAGCGGGUGAUGACCGUGUAGGGGCACCUCAUGACCUGAACCUCAUUUCAUUGCCAGGGACUGAUUCUCUUCAGAUGUAUUUAACCAUGUCUGCCCUCACAAUAGUCCACAAGCUCACACUCGGAAGCAAAAAAAACGUUGAAUGUGAUACUAUAUCUCCAUUUUGUUUUACCUACUGCAUGUUUGAAUGAAGCACUAAUCCAGCUGUAUCACCUGACACCUCACUCCUGCAGACAUUCUGUCCCUCUGCAUUAAAUACAGCACUUUGUUGAUGAUUUAUUUUUUCCUUCCCAUCCCUUUUCAGCUUCUGCUUAAUAUUAAAUCCAUGGAUCAAGGGCCCCUUGGCCUUUUCGCACUCAUGGCUAUGCUUUUAUAUGCCUUUUUAGUGCCUGGGAAAUGACAUUGAAUCCUUGUGGGCAGUCACUGCACAUGCUUAAUGUUACAGCUGGCGUGGCUACCUUGGAACUGAUACCGUAACUGGACCAGAAAGGUUAUUAUAUUGGAUUGCUUUAAAGCAUAUCGGGGAUGAACUGUGGAAAGAUAUGAGUCCCUUGAGAUGACAUAGUCACGGAAUUCAGUACAUUAUAAAUAAUCAUAGUCAUAAUACAAUUCUUCAAGGUUCAGAACUCUUAGAAGUGAGGCUAACGGUCCAGCAGAGUAAUUGCUUUGCCUCUCAGACCUGUGAGAUGGGUGAGACACGCCCAGGUGGAUACCAGCCGCUAAUCUGUCACUGGCCCGCACUGGGAGGAAGGCCAGUAAGAGCUCUCAGUAAAGAGAGGCACUGUCAGCAGCGGCUGGACAUCGUGCCGCGUCUCUCCUGCCGUCCUCCUCGGGCUUUAUUCUUCAUCAGGCCAUUGAGCUGUGGUACUUCACCCCCAACCAGGGAAAUCAGGGUGAAAUUACCUGCUUGUCCUUGUAUGUCCAAUUUCAUUAGCAGAUCCUCUUAGGUGGUCUAUGAUUCAUUAGACUAAAAGCUAAUUUGUAUAAGCAACAAUGAUUGUUCAAGUCAAAUACUCAAAGUUCUAUGUUUAAAGUAAAUGGAUGUAUACAUUUUAUAUUUUAAGUUGAAUUUAACCUGACUAAUUAGUUGUGUUGAUUCCAGCGCAGAGGGUGAAUCUGCUGGGGAUUGUCCAGGGCAGAAUUUACUUUUGAUAUCUGAGCUAGCUUCAGCUUCAGAACAGCCUGCUCUCUGUGCUUCCUGAGGGAAGGCCUGUG